rnacentral:rRNA from 1 species
GACGAACGCUGGCGGCGUGCUUAACACAUGCAAGUCGAACGGUAAGGCCCUUCGGGGUACACGAGUGGCGAACGGGUGAGUAACACGUGGGUGAUCUGCCCUGCACUUCGGGAUAAGCCUGGGAAACUGGGUCUAAUACCGGAUAGGACCACUGCCCGCAUGGGUGGGGGGGGAAAGCUUUUGCGGUGUGGGAUGGGCUCGCGGCCUGUCGGCCUGUUGGUGGGGUGAUGGCCUACCAAGGCGACGACGGGUAGCCGGCCGGAGAGGGUGACCGGCCACACGGGGACUGAGAUACGGCCCAGACUCCUACGGGAGGCAGCAGUGGGGAAUAUUGCACAAUGGGCGCAAGCCUGAUGCAGCGACGCCGCGUGAGGGAUGACGGCCUUCGGGUUGUAAACCUCUUUCAGCACCGACGAAGCGCAAGUGACGGUAGGUGCAGAAGAAGGACCGGCCAACUACGUGCCAGCAGCCGCGGUAA